GCACUAGUGUGUUUUGGGGGCUCAGACCAGCACAUUCCCACUGUUUAUCCAUUGUUUGAGUUGAUGCAUUGUCUGGCCAGCCACUUGUGUGUAUGUAGGGGACUCGGACAAGUUUAUUUAAUGUUCAGUGACCCGUUUGCAGGCACAGGGGUGUUGACAAGCUGGGUGUGCAGGAGAUAGACAGUUAGAAAGGUUUACAGUUCAAAUGCUACAUGUAUCUUAAAAAUACAGAUAAUAAGUGGAUAAAUAGAUUGAAAUUAAUAUAAAAUACCAUUCUUUAUUUAACACUUAACCAAACUUAACCAACAUACACACACACGCUAACUCAGACAGUACCCUAACUACCUUAGCAUCCCGCAGGAGGCCAUGUCCGAGGUGCCAGUGGUGGGGUCGCCAGUUCCAGAGUACGAAGUGGAGGAGGAAGAGGAAGAAGAGGACGAGGAGGAGGCACGGAUGAGGAAGAAGAAAAGAUUAUUACCUGUAGCCCUCCCUCCAGCUGAUAAGGGGAUAUUAAUGAGGCCUUCCUACAGUUACGAGACCCAGAUGGUGUUCCUCGGCCUUUAGAUCUGAACUUCUUCAAGUAUUCUGCCUCAGUGGCUCGUUCCCCAUCCUUCAUCAACAUGAGGGAGGUGUCUUGUCGCUUCAAGCUGCCCCCUGGCACUUACUGCAUUGUGCCAUCCACCUUUGAGCCUAAUGAAGAAGGAGAGUUCAUUUUGAGAGUCUUCUCUGAAAAAGCCAAUGAAAUGGAGAAAAGCGUACCAGCCAGCCUGCCCACCACACCCAUGUCAACAACCACUUUGUCGUCACUGCAGAA